AGAGUUUGAUCCUGGCUCAGGAUGAACGCUGGCAGCGUGGAUAAGGCAUGCAAGUCGAAUGCUACCCUUCGGGGAAAGCAUGGCAAACGGGCUAGUAACACGUGAGAAUUUGCCUCAAAGUUCGGAAUAACCCGGAGAAAUCCGGGAUAAUACCGAAUGUGCUAUUCGUAGUAAAGGCUUCGGCCGCUUUGAGAGAAGCUCGCGUACUAUCAGCUUGUUGGUGAGGUAAAAGCUCACCAAGGCUAUGACGGUUAGGGGGUGUGAGAGCAUGACCCCCAGCAUUAGCACUGAGACACUGGCCAAACACCUACGGGUGGCUGCAGUCGAGAAUCUUCCACAAUGGGGGAAACCCUGAUGGAGCGACGCUGCGUGCGGGAUGAAGGCCUUCGGGUUGUAAACCGCUUUUGUAAGGGACGAAUAUUUAUAUGACGGUACCUUUUCGAAUAAGAGGUUGCUAACUCUGUGCCAGCAGCAGCGGUAAUACAGAGACCUCAAGCGUUAUCCGGAUUUACUGGGCGUAAAGCGUCUGUAGGGGGUUUAAUAAGUUCCAAGUUAAAUCUUAAGGCUUAACUUUAAGUUCGCUUGGAAAACUAUUAAACUGGAGCGUAGCAGAGGUGCAUGGAACUUGUGGUGUAGGAGUGAAAUCCGUUGAUAUCACAAGGAACACCAAAGGCGAAGGCAUUGCACUGGGCUACUGCUGACCCUGAGAGACGAAAGCGUGGGGAGCAAAACGGAUUAGAUACCCGUGUAGUCCACGCCGUAAACGAUGAACACUAGAUGUCCGGGGAUUCGACCCCUUGGGUGUCGCAGCUAACGCGUUAAGUGUUCCGCCUGGGAAGUACGGGCCGCAAGGCUAAAACUCAAAGGAAUAGACGGGGACCCGCACAAGCGGUGGAGCGUCUGGUUCAAUUCGAUAGUAAGCGAGGAACCUCACCAAGACUUGACAUCCUACGACAACCCAAGAAAUUGGGCUUCCUUCGGGCGUAGUGACAGGUGCUGCAUGGUCGUCGUCAGUUCGUGCCGUGAGGUGUUCCGUUAAGUCGGGAAACGAACGAAACCCUCGUUGUAUGUUAAAUUUUUCAUGCGAGACUGCCCAGGUUAACUGGGAGGAAGGUGGGGAUGACGUCAGAUCAGCAUGGUCCUUAUGUCUUGGGCGACACAGGCGCUACAAUGGCUGGUACAAAGGGUUGCCAAACCGCGAGGUGGAGCUAAUCCCAUAAAACCAGUCUAAGUUCGAAUUGAAGGCUGAAACUCGCCUUCAUGAAGUCGGAAUCGCUAGUAAUCGUGAAUCAGCCACGUCACGGUGAAUAUGUUCCCGGAUCUUGUACUCACCGCCCGUCACACCAAGAGAGUUGGUAGCUCCUGAAGCGUCACGUAUGUGGCUCCACGGAGAGAUCAGCGAUAGGGGUGAAGUCGUAACAAGGUAACC
rnacentral:rRNA from 1 species